AGUAGGAAAUCAGAGUGAGUCAGGGUGGAGAAGAGUCAGGGUGGAGUAGGUAAUCGGAAAAGGUUGCUUUACGUGGAAGUUAAGUUUAAAAGCAGAAGGCAAAGAAUUGAACAUACAUAUUAAUUCUUUGAAGAGAAAUUUAUAACUCAUAUUUAAUAACUUCCUCCUCUUGCAUUUUUCCUUAUAGCUUUUUCUUUAACUCCUUUAACAUGUCUUGGCUUAGUUGUUCUGCCUGAUUUUCCAAAAGAAGGAGCUUCUCUGGUUAAGGUGGAGAAUAGUUAAGGGAGAUCUUAGUAAGUACCACUUCUGUGAGCCUCGGCACCAACCCAUGGAUGCAUGAUAUGACACAGCACCCGACAAGAUUAAGUACACCUAUUACGGCUACGAGGGAGGUGGUGGUAGUGGUGCAGUUAAGAAACAAGAAACAGCGCAUCAUCCAAUUAGGCGGAAGCACAGGAUGGAUAUGGGAAAGCAGUAACAUCAGACAAGAAGAUCAGAUGGGAAUAAAAUUGUGGAGAGCUUUGGAUGCAGUGGAGAGCCACAGAAAAUUAUGGGAUAAGGGAGGGACAUAGGAUGAGAGCUGUAAUUAAGGAAGAGUAAUCUAUUGGUAGUGUGGAUCUUUGUGAAAUAUAUUUGAACACGCUUUGUAGGGCAACAAUAUCCAAAUAAAGAAAUCAUAUGAUUAAGAAAAACAAACAGUAAAUUCAUUUUCUGGACUUGAAGUUCCAUAUAUGUGAACAAAGUACAAUGUACGAUUGUUUUACUCAUGUGAAAUUAGGAAGGCUAAAACGAUGGAAGAUCAUUUUCUGUAAAACCAUGGUGAUUUGAAAAACUUUAAGCUAGUGGGUUUGAUCAAAUUACAUGGAAUUCUUUCAAAACCAGCCUAUUCAAUUUUACUUCUCAGUUUUCCUUCCCUACCACCAUCAUCUGGGGAAUAAGAGGGACUUGUCUUUAGUAGGCUUGAAUCCUGUAUACCACCUAUGUAAUGAAUUUUUAGCAUAUUAAGGGAGUUGAUUUUUGAAUACAAAAUUCCAUUCCUAUUAUGUGAAUGUUUUCAAGGUGUAGCUUCAAAAAUAUACAAUAUGGUUUGAAUUCUGGGGAAGGAGUGUUCAACUUUGGGGUGGCUUUAGGGGAUAACAGAUAAGUCAGAAUUUUGAAGGAACUAAAACAAAGGGAAC
rnacentral:lncRNA from 10 species